ensembl:snoRNA SNORA70 Small nucleolar RNA SNORA70
UUGCAGCCAAUUAAGCCGACCGUGCUCUCUUCCCUGUGGGGGCCCGGUGUGCGAUGGCUGCAAACAGCAGCCUCCUCAGUAGUGUGUGCAGCCUGCUGCCGGUAUAGGCUGCCCUAAGGGGCCUUGGGGACAGCC